UAAAAAUCUCUUGAUUGCGAUUGCCUUGCC
rnacentral:piRNA from 1 species